rnacentral:rRNA from 1 species
UACGUAGGGGGCUAGCGUUGUCCGGAAUCAUUGGGCGUAAAGCGCGUGUAGGCGGUCCGGUAAGUCCGCUGUGAAAGUCGGGGGCUCAACCCUCGGAUGCCGGUGGAUACUGUCGGGCUUGAGUACGGAAGAGGCGAGUGGAAUUCCAGGUGUAGCGGUGAAAUGCGUAGAUAUCUGGAGGAACACCAAUAGCGAAGGCAGCUCGCUGGGACGGUACUGACGCUGAGGCGCGAAAGCGUGGGGAGCGAACAGG